rnacentral:tRNA from 1 species
UGGUCAGAUGUCCGAGUCUGGUUUAUGGUGCUUCCCUGCUAAGAAAGUGUGCAUAUAUUUGCACCGUUGGUUCAAAUCCAACUCUGACCGU